AGGGCUGGUCUAGAGACCCUAGCCCACCGAAAGGCGGGGGCCUUCCCC
rnacentral:sRNA from 12 species